rnacentral:rRNA from 1 species
GACGAACGCUGGCGGCGUGCUUAACACAUGCAUGUCGAACGUGAUUUUUGUGGAAAUUCUUUCGGGAAUGGAAAUGAAAUGAAAGUGGCGAACGGGUGAGUAACACGUGAGCAACCUACCUUACACAGGGGGAUAGCCGUUGGAAACGACGAUUAAUACCGCAUGAGACCACAGAAUCGCAUGAUAUAGGGGUCAAAGAUUUAUCGGUGUAAGAAGGGCUCGCGUCUGAUUAGCUAGUUGGAAGGGUAAAGGCCUACCAAGGCGACGAUCAGUAGCCGGUCUGAGAGGAUGAACGGCCACAUUGGAACUGAGACGCGGUCCAAACUCCUACGGGAGGCAGCAGUGGGGAAUAUUGCACAAUGGGGGGAACCCUGAUGCAGCGACGCCGCGUGAGCGAAGAAGGUUUUCGAAUCGUAAAGCUCUGUCCUAUGAGAAGAUAAUGACGGUAUCAUAGGAGGAAGCCCCGGCUAAAUACGUG